rnacentral:rRNA from 1 species
AUUGAACGCUGGCGGCAUGCUUUACACAUGCAAGUCGAACGGUAACAGGCCUUCGGGUGCUGACGAGUGGCGAACGGGUGAGUAAUGCAUCGGAACGUGCCCAGAGGUGGGGGAUAACGCAGCGAAAGCUGUGCUAAUACCGCACGUGAUCUGAGGAUGAAAGCGGGGGACCAGGCAGCAAUGUUUGGCCUCGCGCCUUUGGAGCGGCCGAUGUCAGAUUAGGUAGUUGGUGGGGUAAAGGCCUACCAAGCCGACGAUCUGUAGCUGGUCUGAGUGGACGGCCAGCCACACUGGGACUGAGACACGGCCCAGAGUCCUGCGGGAGGCAGCAGAGGGGAAUUUUGGACAAUGGGCGCAAGCCUGAUCCAGCAAUGCCGCGUGCGGGAAGAAGGCCUUCGGGUUGUAAACCGCUUUUGUACGGAACGAAAAGGCUCUGGCUAAUACCUGGGGCUGAUGACGGUACCGUAAGAAUAAGCACCGGCUAACUACGUG